CCCUUAGAUGUCCGGGGCUGCACGCGCGCUACACUGAAGGAAUCAGCGUGCUAAAACCAUUGUCGAAAGGCAUUGGUAAACCCAUUAAAAUCCUACGUGAUUGGGACCGGGAAUUGCAAUUAUUUCCCUUGAACGAGGAAUUCCCAGUAAGUGUGGGUCAUAAGCUCGCGUUGAUUACGUCCCUGCCCUUUGUACACACCGCCCGUCGCUGCCCGGGACUGAGCCGUUUCGAGAAAAGCGGGGACUGCUGCUGUCGGGGCUUUCGGGCCUUGGCUUCGGUGGAAACCGCUUUAAUCGCAGUGGCUUGAACCGGGCAAAAGUCGUAACA
rnacentral:rRNA from 1 species